rnacentral:rRNA from 1 species
AUUGAACGCUGGCGGCUGGCCUAACACAUGCCAGUCGAGCGGAUGAAGGGAGCUUGCUCCUGGAUUCAGCGGCGGACGGGCGAGUAAUGCCUAGGAAUCUGCCUGGCAGUGGGGGCUAACGUCCGGAAACGGGCGCUAAUACCGCAUACGUCCAGAGGGAGAAAGUGGGGGAUCUUCGGACCUCACGCUAUCAGAUGAGCCUAGGUCGGAUUAGCUAGUUGGUGGGGUAAAGGCCUACCAAGGCGACGAUCCGUAACUGGUCUGAGAGGAUGAUCAGUCACACUGGAACUGAGACACGGUCCAGACUCCUACGGGAGGCAGCAGUGGGGAAUAUUGGACAAUGGGCGAAAGCCUGAUCCAGCCAUGCCGCGUGUGUGAAGAAGGUCUUCGGAUUGUAAAGCACUUUAAGUUGGGAGGAAGGGCAGUAAGUUAAUACCUUGCUGUUUUGACGUUACCAACAGAAUAAGCACCGGCUAACUUCGUG